CCUUGGAUCUGCUUCAAUGAGGUUCGACGGCUAAGAUAAAGUCCAGGGUUUUCACCCUUUUCUAAGCCUCCAACUCGUGAACUCGGCAAAUUUCCAAUUUCUUCUCUUCCUCUCGCUCGCUCUCUCUCUCUCUCUCUCUCUCUCUCGCUCAGAGAAUUCACUCGAUUUUCAUGUCAAGCACAUCUCUUGCAUCAACUUCUCUAGAAAUCAGCAAUUUACAAGGAAAUAGUCCAUCAAUCCAGAGCAAUCCCACCGCCAUUGAUUGGAAGAGAUGUUGUCGGAGCUGCAAGGAUGGAGUCCGGGAAGACUCUUGCUUUUCUAUUUCCAGCUAUCUAGUUGUAUAAACAUGCAUAGCCUAUGUUUGUGCCCUAUCCUCUUAUUUGUUCCUAAAGUGUAUACCUUUUCUCUUUGUUUUUGUUGAUAUGAUGUUGGGCUAUGCAAAUUCAAGUUCAAAAACAAUGGCUAUAAUCUCUUUCUUACUGAUUGAAUAGAAAAUUGAAGUUCACAUACUUGCAUUUUGGUUUAGUCUAAUCUGCGUGUUUGCUUGUAACAGCUUGAUCAGAAGAAAGCUCGUUGAUAAUGCAUACAGAUUGAAACUUUAGGAACAAAUAAGAGGGUAGGGCACAAACAUAGCAAUCCCACCGCCAUUGAUUGGAAGAGAUGUGCUCGGAGCUGCAAGGAUAGGUUUCGGGAAAACUCUUGCUUUUCUAGUACCAGCUAUUUUGUUGUUAUAUAAUGCAAGUUGUUCUUCUCGCAAUGGAGCUGGUGUUGUUGUGAUUUGCCCAACUAGGGAACUCGUAAUACAGGUGAAGACCCUUGCUUAUUGAUGAAUAAUGAUACUAUGAGUUAUCCCUUACUUAUUAGUGAAUAAUGAUACUAUGAUUUACUUAGGUUUGAUGUGGAAUUUGUUCUUAUAUUUCUUUACGUUAGUGUAGUCACGCUUGAUCCAAUUUGGGCUUGUUAGAAGUAUUGCUUUUAGUUCGUUUAACGUCUAGGAGAUCAUGAUACCUGUCUUGGGAAUGGGUUUUAUGAAUAAUGUUUCUUCUAUGAUUGAGGUAUAAGCUUGAACGAUUAUGCUUUGAAUGCGAAUGCGGAAUCAUAUAUUGGACCAUUCUGAAAUUUUAGAAUCCGAAUGGAAAUAUUGGAACUGUAUUGUUUUGUUUCAAUGCAUUGUUAUUGUUAAUCACCUAAUCUUUAAGAAUGUCCAACAUUUUGCAAGGAAUGACUCGUAUUCGGCGAAUUAGUAUAGAGCUAAAGCUCCAACACUUGUGAAAACUCAAGGACUGUAGUCCUCCAUGGUGUUUGCUGUGGAAUCUAAUAAUUGGUUGGUUUGAUAUCAAAUUAUGGCGAUUUUGUGACCUUAUAGUUAGUGGCUAGGUUGCACGUAUUGUUAUAUGCUAGGCAAGUUGUGUGUAGACUGCAGACAUAGAAGAAAUUAAAGCUCAUUAGUUGUACCAUGUAGACACCAAUUCUCUUCUGCUAAUGACGGUGUCUGACAAGUUCUUGCUAAUAAGUAAAGUUUAUGAUCUGUUGAGCAAUGAGGAGAGCCAUGUCAAAUGCAUCCUAAGCCACACAUCAUGCUUUCCAGGAGGCCAUUGAACUAUCAGCAACAACAGGAGAACCAUGAUGUGCUUACAAAGUGAUUGUUGUAAUGAAGCAGACCUUGUAAUCUUUAUAACUGAAAUGCUAGAUAAGAAGAGGUUAUUAUAUUCUAAAAGUAAUUUGGAUGAUGUUUAUGUCCUUGCACACGUGUAGUGUAAUCCUCUCUGGAGAAUUGCAAGUCUUUAGUGACUUCCGACUACAGUAAAUUGUGGCGUGUUACUAUGUAAGCUGUGGUGUUGGUGAAUUUAUUUCGUCGGAUUGGUAUCCUCUAGUUUUUGUUUA